rnacentral:rRNA from 1 species
AUUGAACGCUGGCGACAGGCCUAACACAUGCAAGUCGAACGAGUGGCGGACGGGUGAGUAAUGUCUGGGAAACUGCCUGAUGGAGGGGGAUAAAUACUGGAAACGGUAGCUAAUACCGCAUACAAUCAGAUGUGCCCAGAUGGGAUUAGCUUGUUGGUGGGGUAACGGCUCUCCAAGGCGACGAUCCCUAGCUGGUCUGAGAGGAGGACCAGCCACACGGGAACUGAGACACGGUCCAGAAUCCUACGUGAGGCAGCAGUGGGGAAUAUUGAACAAGGGGCGCAAGCCUGAUGCAGCCAUGCCGCGUGUAUGAAGAAGGCCUUCGGGUUUAAAAGUACUUUCAGCGGGGAGGCGUUACCCGCAGAAGAAGCACCGGCUAACUCCGUGCCAGCAGCCGCGGUAAUUC